rnacentral:rRNA from 1 species
UACGUAGGGUGCAGGCGUUAAUCGGAAUUACUGGGCGUAAAGCGUGCGCAGGCGGUUUCUUAAGUCAGAUGUGAAAGCCCCGGGCUUAACCUGGGAACUGCGUUUGAAACUGGGAGACUUGAGUGUGGCAGAGGGGGGUGGAAUUCCACGUGUAGCAGUGAAAUGCGUAGGUAUGUGGAGGAACACCGAUGGCGAAGGCGGGUCUCUGGGCAGUAACUGACGCUGAGGAGCGAAAGCGUGGGGAGCGAACAGG